rnacentral:tRNA from 1 species
CAGAACAUAGCUUAAACAGAAAAGCACCUCCCUUACACCGAGAAGACAUUUGUGCAAACCAAAUUGCUCUGA